rnacentral:rRNA from 1 species
UACGUAGGGACCUAGCGUUGUCCGGAAUCAUUGGGCGUAAAGCGCGCGUAGGCGGCCCGGUAAGUCCGUUGUAAAAGUCGAAGGCUCAACCUUCGAAAGCCGAUGGAUACUGCCGGGCCAGAGUCCGGAAGAGGCGAGUAGAAUUCCUGGUGUAGCGGUGGAAUGCGCAGAUAUCAGGAGGAAUACCCAUAGCGAAGGCAGCUCGCUGGGACGGUACUGACGCUGAGGCGCGAAAGCGUGGGGAGCGAACAGG